AUGCUUCAGUCUAGGGGUUUUUUCCCCAAGUGGAUUGCUUGGAUUAAAAAUACAUUAAUUAAUAGUACAUUUGCUGUGAGAAUUAAUGAUACUAAUGGGAACUAUUUUGUUGGUGGGAAAGGACUUAAACAAGGGGACCCCCACUCCCCCUUGUUGUUUAACUUAGUAGCUGAUGUGUUUACAAAAAUGCUUAAAAAAGCAGCUUCCCAAAACCUGAUUUUUGGGCUUCUGCCCAAUAUAAUCCCAGGAGGUGUGGUGAGUCUACAAUACGCAGACGACACUAUUCUUUCCCUGGAGAAUUCAGCUCAUAAAGCCAGGAAUUUUAAGUGGUUUUUAUCAUGUUUUGAAUCUCUUUCAGGAAUGAAAAUUAAUUUUCAUAAAAGUGACCUGAUGACCAUCAAUAUUGAUGAGGAAGUGGCCAAUGAUUUUGCCCAGAUUUUCUGUUGCAAAAAAGGAUGUUUUCCAAUUAAGUAUUUAGGCGUGCCUUUGCACUAUGACAAGUUGAAAAUGGAGGAUCUCCAGCCCAUUAUAGAUAGAAUUAUUAAGGGCAUUUCUGGAUGGCUUGGGAGAUAUCUCACUUAUAGAGGGCAAAAGGUUCUUUGA
rnacentral:rRNA from 1 species